AAAGUACUCCCUCCGUCCCAAAAUUCUUGUCUUAGAUUUGUCUAGAUACGGAUGUAUCAAGUCACAUUUUAGUAUUAGAUACAUCCGUAUCUAGACAAAUCUAAGACAAGAAAUUUGGGAUAGAGGGAGUAUUUG
rnacentral:pre_miRNA from 1 species